CACGUAGGGCGCAAGCGUUGUCCGGAAUUAUUGGGCGUAAAGAGCUCGUAGGCGGUCUGUUGCGUCUGCUGUGAAAACCCGGGGCUUAACCCCUGGCUUGCAGUGGAUACGGACAGACUAGAGGUAGGUAGGGGAGAAUGGAAUUCCCGGUGUAGCGGUGAAAUGCGCAGAUAUCGGGAGGAACACCCGUGGCGAAAGCGGCUCUCUGGGACGGUACUGACGCUGAGACGCGAAAGCGUGGGGAGCAAACAGG
rnacentral:rRNA from 1 species